AGUGAACGCUGGCGGCAGGCCUAAUACAUGCAAGUCGAACGGCAGCACAGUGGAGCUUGCUCCAUGGGUGGCGAGUGGCGGACGGGUGAGGAAUACAUGGGAAUCUGCCCAGUCGUGGGGGAUAACGUAGGGAAACUUACGCUAAUACCGCAUGCGCCCUUCGGGGGAAAGCCGGGGACCUUCGGGCCUGGCGCGAUUGGAUGAGCCCAUGUUCGAUUAGCUAGUUGGCGGGGUAAAGGCCCACCAAGGCUACGAUCGAUAGCUGGUCUGAGAGGAUGAUCAGCCACACUGGGACUGAUACACGGCCCAGACUCCUACGGGAGGUAGCAGUAGGGACUAUUGGACAAUGGGCGCAAGCCUGUUCCAGCCAUGCCGCGUGAGUGAAGAAGGCCCUCGGGUUGUAAAGCUCUUUUGUCCGGGAAGAAAAGCAUCGGGCUAAUGCCUCGUUGUUCUGACGGUACCGGAAGAAUAAGCACGGGCUAACUUCGUG
rnacentral:rRNA from 1 species